rnacentral:lncRNA from 1 species
CCAAGAGUAGGAGCUAUUUCCUUGCUCCCGGAAAACAAGCUAAAUGCAGUCUGUUAUCUGUCCCCAGCAGGUAACAGAUUCAACUACCCAACUGAAGCUCCAUGACUGAUUUGACAGCCAAUCCUACCCCUGCCCUAGUCUGCAUGGACAUGGGAAAAAGUCGGUAGACUGGAAAAAGAAAUAGAAAAAAAAAAAAGGAACACUUAGCUGGCAGAAAUGGAAAAAAUAAUAGAACAAAAGACACCCCAAGAAAAGUGAAGAAGAAAGUUAAAAACUCAAGAGAAGAUUAUAAAAACUAAUGGAAGAAGAAAAAAGUCUCUAGGGAAAAAAGCUUCAUGGAACUAGGCAGAGUAAACUAAUGGGAAAAUUAAACCGGGAAGUCUAAGUACAGAAAUCACCUAGACAUAGAUGAUAAACAUAAUUAACAUGACACAGAUAUGUAAAUAUGGA